GCUUUUUAGUAUGGAUCGGAAACUGAAUUCGGCAUCACUACAUACUUUGUCAUCUAAGCAAUUAAGGACCAACAGAUUAACCUACUUAAGGCGUUCAGUAUACAAUUACGUAUUAGUUAACAGCAUGCAUUUCUAAAUAGGUUAAAAGAAACAAUUUCCCAGACUACCGGAUACCAAUGCAGCAUAUCUUAUAUACAAAUAUCAGUUUUUCUUAUUCAAUUUCUAUCUGCAUAUCUCGUCUUUCGGCCAAAUCCUGCAUUUGUUUUUGAAUGUUCGCGUAAAACUUCGCCUUUUCUUCAGCACUUUUCAUUUUAAGUUCGAUUUUUUGAUCAAAAUAUCGUUAUAUAGCGCUUUUACGAAAACGACGAGUUGGAAUAGGAUUUGCUUUCUCAUUGUCUUUCGCUGUUUUAUAUGCCUUCAAAAGCGUUUUCAUUUUUGCUACAAGGGCAGCCGCAUUAACCGUUGUAUUCUGUUGAAUCAAAUGUAAUAACUAUUUACAAAAUAACUUUAAAAUAUUCUUACUGUAAAUCCUUGAUAUAUCAUGUCCUCCAAGACGUUUUCACAAGCGAACUUUUUCUUCCGCGCAUGCAGGAACUCAUCCUUCCUAUCAUUGUAGCACUUCAGGAAUAGGAGUGUUUCGGCCUUUGUCCAAACUUUUCUUUUGCUGUAUAUAUACAAAAUAAAUAAUUAUUUAGCUUGUGAAAAGUUUGUAUACAAAUUUAAAAAUUAAAAUUUACAUUUUUUCCAUGUCAAACAUUUCUGCGCAAUAAAUUUAAUAUCAGCUGAUUGUUAUUGCCCGCGUUACCAAUAUAAUGCAUAUUUAAGCGAAAAUGUGAAAUAAGCUAAAUGCGUUUUAUUUGUCCAUGAUUUAGCUAUUAGCUUAUGACGGUCAAAUAAAACACGGCUUAUGUUGGCUUGUCAUAAGCUAUCAUAGCUUGUGUAUUGAACUAGAGGCGUUGCCAGUUCAUCGCAUUUUUUCAUUCACAAUAGCUAGGGUUUUUCCAAAAAGAAGUAGUUGGCAAUAGCGAGAAACCUAAUUUUGACUGACGAAAAUGAAAACAAACCAAAAUUACAGAUUUUUUGGAUGAGUAUUGAGUUAAAAUUAAGACAAAUAUGAAGACUAGUUUUUAGUUUUUUGUAUUCUAGACCUCAAAUAAAUAAAAUAAAUAUAUUUGUUUAGUAUAUUAAUAUUCCGUUUGCAAAUUUGAAAUUUCAAACAAAAUUGUAUAUCAGCUGAUUGUUCUUGCCCGCAUUGUCAACACAAUUCAUUUUUAAGCGAAUAUAUGUAAUAAGCUAAUACUAUGUUCACAUAUAAGCAGGUUAGCCAGGUUAGCUAGGUUAACUAGGUUAUCUUGUAACCUACCCAUAAAAUGCGAGGUUAGCCAUAUAAUCUGUAUGAAAAGAUAACCUCGGUCUGCUCUAUAACCUACGCGGUUAUUUUAUAACCUACUAAAAUAUGCAUUGUUGCAUUGGAAAGCAGUCGAAAUAUACUCGAAAUUGCGACACUUCAGUAUCUAUUGUGAAUAUUUUUGCUUAAAUUUGACAGCAACUGACAAAAAAUUCGCAGGAAUUUAAAAAAUGGAUCAAAUACGCCGGAAAAGGAAAACCGUGUUAGAUGGACAGUAGAUGCGGAGAAAGUGCUGCUCUGCGAAAAAAAAAAAUUUCAUAUCUUUGCGCGUUUGGAAGAGGAAUUUUCAAAAAGGCAGAUGAACUACAGUGCAGCUGAAAUAAAGGAAAAAGUGCAUAAUUUUACCAAUCGUUACAAGUAAGUACAUUUAAAAUUAAAAAAGUAUAUUUUGCUGCAUACUCAUAGCAUUAUAAUAUGUAU
rnacentral:lncRNA from 1 species